GUGAUGAUCGUGCCUGGGUGACUUCAUUCCAGCACCACGAUCUGGUCUUCACACCCUUUGGGGGUGGCGGGGGCUUCUCUUUGAAGAGGAGUGGGGAGGCGGGUUGGAUGAUGGUUUUGGUGCUAGAUUUGGGGAGCGGGAGCCCUGUGGGCAGGGUGCUGAGCUGAUGGGGACGCACACGGCUUUGAAUGACUUGCUGCAGACCGCACAGACCUGCCAAAUGUUGCCAGCAGAGGGAAGGAGAGACGCUCUCCCGGAGCUGAUCUCUGCAGCGCGCUAGGGCUCGGGUCCCUCCCUUUGGCCGCAGGACUGAUUCAGGGGCCGGGGGGGGGGGGAGUGUUGUUGUUAAUUUUAUUUUCUUGGCUGGCCGCUGCUGGCUCCCUCUGCUCUCUCAUCUCCGCUCAGCUUUACCCCGCCCCAACCAGCGCGCACCCCCCCCCCACACGUCCUCCUGCUCUUCCUGGGCUGCCCCCUGCAUAGGGAAGCGGCUGCGGCUGCCGCUGGGGGUGGCGGGUUGCAGGGGCGCCGCGAUCGGAGCAGCGAGGGAGGGAGGCCGGGGCUGAGCCAUGCCGGGGGGCGGCUGCCGGAACCAGGGAUGGGGCGAGAGGCUGCCGAGGAUCCCAGCAUCUCCCCGCCGGGGGCCCAGGAAGCAGAAAAGCCGCCGCCGCCGCUGCUGAGAGCCAGCAAAGGGCGGCGAUGGGCUCCUUCUCCUCUCUGGAUGAGGCCAUUGUCUUGGCCCCAACACUGGCCAUCUAUGACUUCAGAGCCUUCCAAGACCUGCUAUCAAGGACAGUGAGACAGCAGUGAGCCAAGAAAAAUAUGCACAAGCAGCUCAACAUCCUCAGUGCUAACAAGAAUUGCCCUACUGAUCAAUGAGGCAUAUUGGACCAUGGCACACCCCAGCCUCAUUCCUGACUGCUUCAAAGUGAGUAGAACAGUGCUAUCGAGUCCUCCCAAGGGCUUUUAAUAUUUUUAUGUGCACCCGACACUGCUGUCACUUGUGGUAUCUGCAGCCCAGGAAAAGACCAGGGCUACUAAGGGGACUCCAAAAGCUGAUAAUCCCAAAACAUUGGACCUUUUUGGCCCAAAGUCUUACUCACCAG
rnacentral:lncRNA from 1 species